rnacentral:rRNA from 1 species
UUAAGUGACGAUAGCCUAGGAGAUACACCUGUACCCAUGCCGAACACAGCAGUUAAGCCCUAGAACGCCUGAAGUAGUUGGGGGUUGCCUCCUGUUAGAUACGGUAGUCGCUUAGC